AACGAACGCUGGCGGCAUGCCUAACACAUGCAAGUCGAACGAGACCUUCGGGUCUAGUGGCGCACGGGUGCGUAACACGUGGGAAUUUGCCUCGGGGUAUGGAAUAACUCAGGGAAACUUGAGCUAAUACCAUAUAAUGUCUUCGGACCAAAGAUUUAUCGCCCUGAGAUAAGCCCGCGUAGGAUUAGCUAGUUGGUGGGGUAAAGGCUCACCAAGGCGACGAUCCGUUAGCUGGUCUGAGAGGAUGAUCAGCCACACUGGGACUGAGACACGGCCCAGACUCCUACGGGAGGCAGCAGUGGGGAAUAUUGGACAAUGGGCGAAAGCCUGAUCCAGCAAUGCCGCGUGAGUGAUGAAGGCCU
rnacentral:rRNA from 1 species